rnacentral:rRNA from 1 species
AACGAACGCUGGCGGCGUGUUUAAGACAUGCAAGUCGCACGGGGAAUAUUUUGGUAGUAAUACUUGAAUAUUCUAGUGGCGCACGGGUGAGUAACACGUGAAUUACAUGCCCUUCAGUGGGGAAUAGCCCAGGGAAACUUGGAUUAAUACCCCAUGGUAUCGCAAGAUUAAAGGUGGCCGCAAGGCUGCCGCUGAAGGAUUGGUUCGCGCCCUAUCAGCUUGUUGGCGAGGUAACGGCUCACCAAGGCUACGACGGGUACCUGGUUUGAGAGGACGAUCAGGCACACUGGAACUGAGACACGGUCCAGACACCUACGAGUGGCAGCAGUCGAGAAUAAUUCACAAUGGGGGCAACCCCGAUGGUGCAACGCCGCGUGGAGGAUGACGGUCUUCGGAUUGUAAACUCCUGUCAUCUGGGAGUAAGACCUGGCAGUUAAUAGCUGACAGGGUUGAUAGUACCAGAAGAGGAAGGGACGGCUAACUUCGUGCCAGCAGCCGCGGUAAUACGAAGGUCCCGAGCGUUGUUCGGAAUCACUGGGCGUAAAGGGAGCAUAGGCGGCGUGGUAAGUCAGAUGUGAAAUCCCGGGGCUCAACCCCGGAACUGCAUCCGAUACUGCCGUGCUAGAGUGAUGGAGAGGUAGCUGGAAUUCUUGGUGUAGCAGUGAAAUGCGUAGAUAUCAAGAGGAACACUCGUGGCGAAAGCGAGCUACUGGACAUUUACUGACGCUGAGGCUCGAAGGCCAGGGUAGCGAAAGGGAUUAGAUACCCCUGUAGUCCUGGCAGUAAACGGUGCACGCUUGGUGUGAGGGGAAUCGACCCCCCUUGUGCCGGAGCUAACGCGUUAAGCGUGCCGCCUGGGAAGUACGGUCGCAAGACUA